CGCCUCCCUUGUUUAUAAUUCUCAGUAGCGGAAAGAGAGAGAGCACGAAAAAAAUUGAUGAGCAGCAUGGCGGCAGGCGGCGGCGAGGGCGAAGACGAACUCGUCACCCCUGGGGAGCUGCUCGGCGACUCCAGCGGACUAAUCGCCGGCACGGGAGCCUAUGUCGCUCCCAACGGUCGCUCUAUCCGCGCUUCCCUUGCCGGUAUCCGCCGUAUAACCCCUCCCCAAUCUGAUGCUGCCGACCAGAGAUCGACCGUGGAAGUUGUCGGGCACAAGGCCCAGGGUGCUGUUCCACAGCCCGGUUCUGUGGUUAUUGCUCGAGUAACAAAAGUGAUGGCCCGUAUGGCAUCAGCUGAUAUAAUGUGUGUUGAGUCCAAAGCUGUGAGGGAAAAGUUUACUGGCAUAAUUAGGCAACAAGAUGUUCGUGCAACUGAAAUUGAUAAGGUGGACAUGUACCUCUCUUUUCAUCCUGGUGACAUCAUUCGAGCUCUUGUUCUUUCUCUUGGAGAUGCAAGGGCAUAUUACCUUUCUACUGCAAAGAAUGAACUGGGAGUAGUUUCUGCUCAAAGCAUAGCAGGUGCUACCAUGGUUCCAAUCAGUUGGACGGAGAUGCAAUGCCCAUUGACUGGCCAAGUUGAGAAGAGGAAAGUUGCAAAGGUUGAUUAGGCUUACUUCGAUGGUGAAAUUGCUAAACCACAGCUUUUUUCUCAGAAAAAGUCCUUCAAUUUCCAACUCAAGCAACUUGCAAUAUGGAGAUCCUUACUCUAAUUGGCACUAUAAUUAGUGGAAUCACUGUUAAAGUUGUCCAACCCAGACUUUGAUAUAACUGCCUUGCAUUUAUGUUCGCUGCCCUGUUAUAUUCAUGGUACCCGGCAGUUGUGAAACAAUCUGUCUCUGCCAUUAAAGCUACAACUUCUUUUCUCGAUGAAGGAAUAUGUACAGGUAUCUGAGAUUUGUGGACGUCAGAUGUUGAACUUAAUGGCAGCUUAUGCUGUGUGGGUGUGGCAUUUGGUCAAUUUUGCCCAGUUGAGGGUACUACUAUGCUGUUGUGAGUUCAUCGCCUGAGAUUUCUGGCCCAAAUACGG